GACGAACGCUGGCGGCGUGCCUAAUACAUGCAAGUCGAAAGCAGUGGGGACGGGUGAGUAACACGUGGGUAACCUCACAUCAGAGGGGAUAACACUUGGAAACAGGUGCUCAACCGAUAUUGAUGGAUGGACCCGCGGUGAAUUAGCUAGUUGGUGAGGAAACGGCUCACCAAGGCGACGAUGCAUAGCCCACCGGAGAGGUGGAACCGCAAAACUGUGACUGAGACACGGCCCACAGACCUACGGGAGGCAGCGGUAGGGAAGCUUCGGCAAUGUGCUAAAGUCUGACCGGGCAACGCCGCGAGAGUGAAGAGGGUUUUCAGAUCGAGAAACACGGUUGUUAGAGAAGCGGUAUCUAACCAGAAAGACACGGCUGACUACGUACCAGCCGCCGCGGUAAUAC
rnacentral:rRNA from 1 species